rnacentral:rRNA from 1 species
GACGAACGCUGGCGGCGUGCCUAACACAUGCAAGUCGAACGAAGAUUUAGAAGAGCUUGCUCUUCGGGAUCUUAGUGGCGGACUGGUGAGUAACGCGUGAGCAACCUGCCCUAAAGUGGGGAAUAACUCAGGGAAACUUGAGCUAAUACCGCAUAACGCAAGGAUAUGGCAUCAUGUUCUUGUCAAAGAUUAAUCGCUUUGGGAUGGGCUCGCGUCCGAUUAGAUAGUUGGUGAGGUAACGGCUCACCAAGUCGACGAUCGGUAGCCGGACUGAGAGGUUGAACGGCCACAUUGGGACUGAGAUACGGCCCAGACUCCUACGGGAGGCAGCAGUGGGGGAUAUUGCACAAUGGAGGAAACUCUGAUGCAGCAACGCCGCGUGAAGGAAGAAGGUCUUCGGAUUGUAAACUUUUGUCUUCGGGGACGAUAAUGACGGUACCCGAGGAGGAAGCCACGGCUAACUACGUG